CCUACGGGCGGCAGCAGUGAGGAAUAUUGGACAAUGGGCGCGAGCCUGAUGCAGCCAAGCCGCGUGAAGGAUGACUGCCCUACGGGUGGUAAACUUUUUCUACAAAGGAAUAAAUUGAGGCACGUGUGCCUUUUUGUAUGUACUUUAUCAUUAAGGAACGGCUACCUCCGUGCCAGCAGCAGCGGUACUACGGAGGGUCCGAGCGUUAUCCGGAUUUAUUGGGGUUAAAGGGAACGUAGAUGGGUUGUUAAGUCAGUUGUGAAAGUUUGGGGCUCAACCGGGAAAUUGCAAUUGAUACUGGCAGGCUUGAGUACAGUAGAGGUAGGCGGAAUUCGUGGUGUAGCGGUGAAAUGCGUAGAGAUCACGAGGAACACCGAUUGCGAAGGCAGCCUACUGGAC
rnacentral:rRNA from 1 species